UGAAGGCGUCUAAUGCAAAGGUUAUUGG
rnacentral:sRNA from 1 species